CAGUAGCCACGGGAAUACGAAGGGGGCUAGCGUUGCUCGGAAUUACUGGGCGUAAAGGGAGCGUAGGCGGACAUUUAAGUCAGGGGUGAAAUUCCGGGGCUCAACCUCGGAAUUGCCUUUGAUACUGGGUGUCUUGAGUAUGAGAGAGGUAUGUGGAACUCCGAGUGUAGAGGUGAAAUACGUAGAUAUUCGGAAGAACACCAGUGGCGAAGGCGACAUACUGGCUCAUUACUGACGCUGAGGCUCGAAAGCGUGGGGAGCAAACAGGAUUAGAUACCCCUGUAGUCCCUGUCUCUUAUAC
rnacentral:rRNA from 1 species